rnacentral:sRNA from 1 species
AAUAUUUAGACUUAAUUCAUGGUAAAAUGGGCUUUUAAGAAAAGGACACCUCUGUCAUUCAUGUGCUCUCUCUGAGGGAGGCAUAGGUUACAGAGACAGGAGAGAUGUGAGUCUAUUGUGCUAGGUCCACUUGUGUUUUAAGUGUGAAUCAGUUUUCCUUGCUCACUCCCUAAAUUCUGGGUGGUUGAUCUUACACUGUGUCUCGUCUGGGUUCUUCUCUUUCAGAAACACAAUGCGUGAACCUGCUGCAGGGUGGAGAAGAGACAACUUGAGCCUUUUCCCGCACACUUGUGCACUCCUUCUAGAUGUGAUCUUGGAUGAGGUUUUCCUGUUUUGCUGGGCAGGCCUCUGUGACAUGGCCCUCAGUAACCACCUAUGGUACAGACUGCACGUUCUACUAUGGCUCUGGCUCUAGUCACAGAGGAAGGCAGACUGUGGACAGUUACUGACCUAUUGAACAGGCUGUUAUAAGUACUGAUAUGGACUCAGCCUACAUCAAUUGACAGAAAAUUAUAACUGGCUGUAGAAUGAUGUAUUGUGUGACAAAGACACCUCAAAGUGACUGUGCCUUCCCACCUGCCCUGUCUUCUCCAUGAACUGCACUGAGGCAGAAAAAUGCUGCUCCGUCACUAUACGACAGAAUCCACUGUGGUGAAAGGCAGGAGUGUUUACAAGGAAGCAGCUCCUAUCUGGGAAGGAGCCAUGAGUGCAGGAGGAAGAGCUCCGAAAAGAAAACCCUUUCUUUGCAGGGACAAAACCAAGUUUAUUACCAGGAAGCAUGGGGGACACAAUGGAUGGGCAGAUGGGACAUAUUCUUGAAAAAUGAUGGCCAGAGCCUCCUCCUCCUUGCCCUGUCCUGAUGAGGUCUACCUGGUGUGAGAGGCUUGGUGGACAGCAACUGAAGUCUUUAAGCAGUCAUUUCCCCCGUGCUUGAUUGGAAAAUUUCUCUAUGGGACUCAGAGAACGGCAACAGCCCGUUCCUUUCUUCGUAGUUUGAUGUGGGAAAAGGGGUUUAUGGACAAUUUCUGGCUGGUGUUUGUUUCUGAUUUCUCUAUAUCCGAAGGAAUGGUUGUGCCCCAUGAAGCUGCUAUGUGGCCAGCAGACCAUUCCAACAUUUGUUGUGAUUUUAUUUGGGUCACAGAAUCUCUGGUGAGCAAGACCUGACUCCUGCUUUUCUCCAAUUCCCCUGUACUCAGAAGGAAAGUCACUUCCCUUGGGGACGAGGGAGCUGGU